rnacentral:lncRNA from 1 species
AUCGUUACCAGAAUAGUUGAAUGAUGUGUCGUCAGCAAAUAGCCGACACAGUGAAGUAAGCUUAUCAGCAAUAUCAUUAAUAUAUAAGACAAAGAGAAGAGGGCCCAGAACUGAUCCCUGGGGACACCAGCUGAAGACAUUACAGAAGGAAGAAGACGAGUUAUUUAAUACUACUCUCUGUUUUCUGUCGUGUAGAUAAUCCUGAAACCAAUUCAAUACGUUUCCGUCAACACCAUAAGCUUUCAUUUUAUAUAUAAGACCCCUAUGCCAAACUUUGUCAAAAGCUUUAGAGAAGUCACAGAAUACAAAACAAUUUAUAUCUUUUUUUUCCAAGGAG